CACAGUUGGCAGUGUAUGGCUUGAUCCUCAAGCAGACAUCUGAUGUCCUGACUCAGAAAGCAAACCCAUUUCUAAGAUUGGUAGACAUUUGCCCUUUAGCUUAUAUCAUUCAGUCAUUGUAUUUCCAGGUUAGAAAAGCUGGAAAGGAAAGGAUCUAACAUUCUCGUAUUCACACUCACUGGACAGAGCAGCGGCAGAGCAAGUGGUUCAUUCCAGAGGUUUGUGUAAUCUUGGCUCUCCUGGAACUCACUCUCCAGACCAGGAUGACCUCAAACUCCAAUCUACCUGCUGAUUGCCACCAUGCCUGGCUAUGUUUUUAUUUACUUACCAGACAGGGUCUUUCUACAUAGCUCUGGCUGUCCUCAAAGUGUGUAGACCAGGCUGCUUCCUGAGUGCUUGGAAUUAAAGGAAGGCACCACCACCCCGGCUCUGGGCCAAUGAGAACGGCACCAAAAGACCCGCUGCUGCUCGUCUACCCAUUACUGAUUCAUCUCCACUCCAGAAGUCUAAAGAAACAGAAGACGAUCAGUUUCACUCCAAUGGUCAAAUAACUGUGUACUGACUGUCUCAGGUGAUCCUAAAGCCAACUCACCAAUGUAGUAAAAGCCCAAGUGUGACCGACUGAAGGAGAAAAGAGAGAACUACAGAUUGCAUUAAGUUGUUCUAUUAUUUAUUACAUGUAAAUCCAGAAUCUGAGGCAAGUCAUUUUUCUACCUGUUUAAGGCAGAGUCUGAACAUCACAGUGAAAUAAAAAUGAUGUCCAUGUUUUGCAA